rnacentral:rRNA from 1 species
UACGUAGGGGGCAAGCGUUGUCCGGAAUCAUUGGGCGUAAAGAGCGUGUAGGCGGCUUGGUAAGUCCGCUGUGAAAGUCCAGGGCUCAACCCUGGAAUGCCGGUGGAAACUGUCAAGCUUGAGUCCGGAAGAGGCGAAGUGGAAUUCCUGGUGUAGCGGUGAAAUGCGCAGAUAUCAGGAGGAACACCAAUGGCGAAGGCAGCUCGCUGGGACGGUACUGACGCUGGAGACGCGAAAGCGUGGGAGCAAACAGG